GAUGAACGCUAGCGGCAGGCUUAACACAUGCAAGUCGAGGGGCAGCAUGAGACGGAGAUUCGUCGAAGUCUUGAUGGCGACCGGCGCAAGGGUGCGUAACGCGUGAGCAACUUGCCCGUUUCUGGGGGAAUAACCGGUGGAAACGCCGACUAAUACCCCAUGGCAUCAUGAUGAGGCAUCUCAUCAUGAUUAAAGAAAUUCGGAAACGGAUAGGCUCGCGUGACAUUAGCUAGAUGGCGGGGUAACGGCCCACCAUGGCGACGAUGUCUAGGGGUUCUGAGAGGAAGGUCCCCCACACUGGAACUGAGACACGGUCCAGACUCCUACGGGAGGCAGCAGUGAGGAAUAUUGGUCAAUGGUCGGAAGACUGAACCAGCCAUGCCGCGUGAAGGUGACGGCCCUAUGGGUCUUAAACUUCUUUUGUAAGGGUAGCAAUAAGGAUCACGCGUGGUCUGAUGAGAGUACCUUACGAAUAAGCAU
rnacentral:rRNA from 1 species